rnacentral:rRNA from 1 species
UGGGGAAUAUUGCACAAUGGGCGAAAGCCUGAUGCAGCGACGCCGCGUGAAGGAUGAAGUAUUUCGGUAUGUAAACUUCUAUCAGCAGGGAAGAAAAUGACGGUACCUGACUAAGAAGCCCCGGCUAACUACGUGCCAGCAGCCGCGGUAAUACGUAGGGGGCAAGCGUUAUCCGGAUUUACUGGGUGUAAAGGGAGCGCAGGCGGUGCGGCAAGUCUGAUGUGAAAGCCCGGGGCUCAACCCCGGUACUGCAUUGGAAACUGUCGUACUAGAGUGUCGGAGGGGUAAGUGGAAUUCCUAGUGUAGCGGUGAAAUGCGUAGAUAUUAGGAGGAACACCAGUGGCGAAGGCGGCUUACUGGACGAUAACUGACGCUGAGGCUCGAAAGCGUGGGGAGCAAACA